UACCCUAGUGGUAGAUCACUGCACUGUCAACCUGGGAGAGCGUAGGCUCGAUUCCCAGUAGGUG
rnacentral:tRNA from 16 species